rnacentral:snRNA from 1 species
CAGACCUUGAUGCUGCGACU